ensembl:lncRNA
UUAAAACGGCUUCAGUUUUAUUUAAGUAUUGGUUGGUAAAUGUAAUACAUCUUUUAUUAGUAACAUAGAAUCAUCAUUAGUGGCUUUUAAUAACACAAGGCUGUAACAGUGCGUCUGUCUCAGAGACACUAAUCAAUACAGUUUAACAUAGAAAACAUGUCUGGGUACCUAUACCAACGACUUAUAUAAACCCUGGAUUGCCAGAUCGCUAUGAAGCCGCCGGUCGGCCAUUUUGGAACUCCCCAGGCGGAGCAGUCCUCCAUAGGAAUUAAUAGAAUUCUACAGAAUUUCAAUUGGAUGUUUCUAGGAAGGAAAUGACAUGUGUAUAAGUAUGUUUCUGUUGUUGUAGUGGGGAGAGUAACAUAACAUGUUUUGAUGUACGCAGAGUAAACAAACCAAACACCUGCUCUUUCCAUAACAGACUGAAUCCAGCCAAUUUGACACAACUAUGGAAAGCAUUGGAGUAAAACAUGGGCCAGCAUCCCUGUGGAACGCUUUCCACACCUUGUAGAGUCCCUGUGGAACGCUUUCCACACCUUGUAGAGUCCCUGACACAACGAACUGAGGCUGUUCUGAGGACGGACGGACGACUGCAACUCCAUAUCAGGAAGCUGUUCCUAAUGUUUCAUUUAUCAGUGUAGUUUUUUUUUUUUUUACAUGUUUAUGUUAAUCUGUAAUAGAAUAAACCAGUGUAGACCUUAAUACAUGCAUUUAUAUAGUAUUAUAUAUAUAUAUAUAUAUAUAUUACAACGGUGAGGCAGCACCAAGAGAUAGACACAGUGGCCUCAACACAGCGGUCCCCAACCCUGUCAUAUAAGUCAUUGGUACAUACACCAGGCCUUUGGAUUGGACGAACCAAUAACGGAACCUGACACACACACAUGCAGACAAAGGCAAACUCCCACAACCCCCUCCACCUGCAAAAAAACAAAAAACAAAACACAUUUAAUUUCCUUUUAAAUCUACGUCCCUUUAUGUUAGGCACGGUGGCACACACACACAGAGAUGCACAAACAUGCUAGGGACUACAGAAUGACCACUGUGCAUUGACUGACUUGUCUGAUUAUUCAAAUCUGCAUACUCUAUUUCCACACACACACACACACACACACACACACACACACACACACACACACACACACACACACACACACACACGGAGUGGCAUGUGGAAGACGGGCUUUCCUUGGUGAGCAGUAAAAUAUAACAGUGAGUUGAGGGUAAAGGCUAGCGCCGAUAUGGAGCCAAGGCUAAGACUGUUAUCCCCUUCCC